AGGUUGGCUCAGAAGCAGCCAUCCUUUAAAGAGUGCGUAACAGCUCACUAGUCGAAUGACUCUGCGCCGAUAAUUUACCGGGGCUAAGCAUACUACCGAAGCUAUGGAUCCCAAGGGAUGGUAGGGGAGCGUUCCAUGAACGGAGAAGCGCGAUCGAGAGGACGCGUGGAGAUCAUGGAAGAGAGAAUGCCGGUGUGAGUAGCGGAACGUGGGUGAGAAUCCCACGCACCGAAAACCCAAGGUUUCCAGAGGAAGGUUCGUCCGCUCUGGGUAAGUCGGGACCUAAGGCGAGGCCGAGAGGCGUAGUCGAUGGACAACAGGUAGAGAUUCCUGUACUCAUAUAUAUGUGAAGGAAUGACGGAGAGAGGAAGCUGCAGCCAGCGGCUGGAAGAGCUGGUGCAAGCGAGAUAUCGGGAUGGCAGGCAAAUCCACCAUCCGAAACGAGAAGGCGUGAAGCGUACGGAAAGCUAAGGCGAGUACGGAAGGCAGUGGAGGAGCUUCCAAGAAAAGUUUCUAACGAAAGUAUAUGUGACCCGUACCGAAAAUGGACACACAUGGGUGAGGAGAGAAUCCUAAGGUGAGCGAGAGAACUAUAGCUAAGGAACUCUGCAAAAUGACUCCGUAACUUAGGGAGAAGGAGUGCUCAUAGAGAUAUGAGCCGCAGUGAAACGGCCCAAGCGACUGUUUACCAAAAACACAGCUCUCUGCUAAGCCGCAAGGCGAAGUAUAGGGGGUGACGCCUGCCCGGUGCUGGAAGGUUAAGGGGAGGGGUUAACGCAAGUGAAGCCCUGAACUGAAGCCCCAGUAAACGGCGGCCGUAACUAUAACGGUCCUAAGGUAGCGAAAUUCCUUGUCAGGUAAGUUCUGACCCGCACGAAAGGCGUAACGAUUUGGGCGCUGUCUCAGCUGUAGACUCGGUGAAGUCUUAGUACCUGUGAAGAUGCAGGUUACCCGCGACUAGACGGAAAGACCCCAUGGAGCUUCACUGCAGGUUGAUAUUGGGAUUUGAUGCAGCAUGUACAGGAUAGGUAGGAGGCAAAGAGAUGGAUACGCCAGUAUUCAAGGAGCCGCUGUUGGGAUACUACCCCUGUUGUAUUGGAUUUCUAACCGGACGACGUAAAGCCGUUGACGGGACAGUGUCAGUCGGGCAGUUUGACUGGGGCGGUCGCCUCCCAAAGAGUAACGGAGGCGCCCAAAGAUACCCUCAGCUUGGAUGGAAACCAAGCGCAGAGUGCAAAGGCAAAAGGGUGUUUGACUGCGAGACCCACAAGUCGAGCAGGGACGAAAGUCGGGCUUAGUGAUCCGGCGGUGCUGAAUGGAAAGGCCGUCGCUCAACGGAUAAAAGCUACCCUGGGGAUAACAGGCUGAUCUCCCCCAAGAGUUCACAUCGACGGGGAGGUUUGGCACCUCGAUGUCGGCUCAUCGCAUCCUGGAGCUGAAGUAGGUUCCAAGGGUUGGGCUGUUCGCCCAUUAAAGCGGUACGCGAGCUGGGUUCAGAACGUCGUGAGACAGUUCGGUCCCUAUCUGUCGUGGGCGCAGGAAAUUUGAGAAGAGCUGUCCUCAGUACGAGAGGACCGGGAUGGACGCAUCAAUGGUGGACCAGUUGUCACGCCAGUGGCAUAGCUGGGUAGCUAAAUGCGGAAGGGAUAAACGCUGAAGGCAUCUAAGUGUGAAACCCACUUCAAGAUGAGAUUUCCCAUUGCGCAAGCAAGUAAGACCCCUUAAAGACGAUAAGGUAGAUAGGUCAGGAGUGUAAGCAUGGUGACAUGUUAAGCGGACUGAUACUAAUAGGUCGAGGGCUUGACCGA
rnacentral:rRNA from 1 species